GUACUCACUCCAAUAGCUCAUAAAUUAAAGUUAAAAUGAUGCAGAGAAGAUUAGCAUGGUCUAUGCGCAAAAAUGACAUGCAAAUUCGUGAAUGUUCCUGAUUUUU
ensembl:snRNA U6 U6 spliceosomal RNA